GUAUCACGUGAGAAACCUGCCCGAAGACCGGGAUAGCCCGGGGAAACCCGGAUUAAUACCGGAUAUUCUCUACAGAUCGCAUGGUCUGCUGAGGAAAAUGCCUUUGUGCUUCGGGAUGGUCUCGCGACCUAUCAGCUAGUUGGUGAGGUAAUGGCUCACCAAGGCAACGACGGGUAGCUGGUCUGAGAGGACGAUCAGCCACACUGGGACUGAGACACGGCCCAG
rnacentral:rRNA from 1 species